AAAAACAGGUAGCCUUGGCCACCCAGAUGUCACCCCAGCUGCUACUAAUUUGGCUUUCUCCUCCAAACCCAGAAGAGUUUGUGACCAUUUAACCAAGGUAAAGAAGUUGGUGAUGAAGAGGGAGGUUAAGCGUGCAUGAGAGCAAAGCCUUCAGUCAUGGGACCACCACUCAAGAAAACUACUAUCUCUGGGUGUCUCACAUCCCACUUUUAAGAGACCUCAGCCAAGACCUACAAGCUCCUUGCUCAGUGCCACCAGGGUCUGGUCCCCAUUGCAUUACUUCCUAUAACAUGUCUUUACAUAGUAU